rnacentral:tRNA from 1 species
ACACCUGUGGUGAAGUGGUUAUCAUGCUUGCCUUCCAUUUGCUCAUUGAGGUUCGCAAGUGCAGCAAGCGGCACGGGUUCGAUUCCCGUCGGGUGUA